rnacentral:rRNA from 1 species
CCUACGGGUGGCAGCAGUGAGGAAUAUUGGUCAAUGGACGAGAGUCUGAACCAGCCAAGUCGCGUGAAGGAUGACUGCCCUAUGGGUUGUAAACUUCUUUUAUAUGGGAAUAAAACGUUCCACGUGUGGGAUUUUGUAUGUACCAUAUGAAUAAGGAUCGGCUAAAUCCGUGCCAGCAGCCGCGGUAAUACGUAAGAUCCGAGCGUUAUCCGGAUUUGUUGGGUUUAAAGGGAGCGUAGGUGGAUUGUUAAGUCAGUUGUGAAAGUUUGCGGCUCAAACGUGAAAGUGCAGUUGAAACUGGCAGUCUUGAGGACAGUAGAGGUGGGCGGAAUUCGUGGUGUAGCGGUGAAAUGCUUAGAUAUCACGAAGAACUCCGAUUGCGAAGGCAGUUCACUGGACUGCAACUGACACUGAGGCUCGAAAGUGUGGGUAUCAAACAGGAUUAGAUACCCCAGUAGUC